GACGAACGCUGGCGGCGUGCUUAACACAUGCAAGUCGAACGGAAAGGCCCUGCUUUUGUGGGGUGCUCGAGUGGCGAACGGGUGAGUAACACGUGAGUAACCUGCCCUUGACUUUGGGAUAACUUCAGGAAACUGGGGCUAAUACCGGAUAGGAGCUCCUGCUGCAUGGUGGGGGUUGGAAAGUUUCGGCGGUUGGGGAUGGACUCGCGGCUUAUCAGCUUGUUGGUGGGGUAGUGGCUUACCAAGGCUUUGACGGGUAGCCGGCCUGAGAGGGUGGCCGGCCACAUUGGGACUGAGAUACGGCCCAGACUCCUACGGGAGGCAGCAGUGGGGAAUAUUGCACAAUGGGCGGAAGCCUGAUGCAGCAACGCCGCGUGCGGGAUGACGGCCUUCGGGUUGUAAACCGCUUUCGCCUGUGACGAAGCGUGAGUGACGGUAAUGGGUAAAGAAGCACCGGCUAACUACGUGCCAGCAGCCGCGGUGAUACGUAGGGUGCGAGCGUUGUCCGGAUUUAUUGGGCGUAAAGGGCUCGUAGGUGGUUGAUCGCGUCGGAAGUGUAAUCUUGGGGCUUAACCCUGAGCGUGCUUUCGAUACGGGUUGACUUGAGGAAGGUAGGGGAGAAUGGAAUUCCUGGUGGAGCGGUGGAAUGCGCAGAUAUCAGGAGGAACACCAGUGGCGAAGGCGGUUCUCUGGGCCUUUCCUGACGCUGAGGAGCGAAAGCGUGGGGAGCGAACAGGCUUAGAUACCCUGGUAGUCCACGCUGUAAACGGUGGGUACUAGGUGUGGGGUCCAUUCCACGGGUUCCGUGCCGUAGCUAACGCUUUAAGUACCCCGCCUGGGGAGUACGGCCGCAAGGCUAAAACUCAAAGGAAUUGACGGGGCCCCGCACAAGCGGCGGAGCAUGCGGAUUAAUUCGAUGCAACGCGUAGAACCUUACCUGGGUUUGACAUGGAUCGGGAGUGCUCAGAGAUGGGUGUGCCUCUUUUGGGGUCGGUUCACAGGUGGUGCAUGGCUGUCGUCAGCUCGUGUCGUGAGAUGUUGGGUUAAGUCCCGCAACGAGCGCAACCCUUGUUCACUGUUGCCAGCACGUUAUGGUGGGGACUCAGUGGAGACCGCCGGGGUCAACUCGGAGGAAGGUGGGGAUGACGUCAAGUCAUCAUGCCCCUUAUGUCCAGGGCUUCACGCAUGCUACAAUGGCUGGUACAGAGAGUGGCGAGCCUGUGAGGGUGAGCGAAUCUCGGAAAGCCGGUCUCAGUUCGGAUUGGGGUCUGCAACUCGACCUCAUGAAGUCGGAGUCGCUAGUAAUCGCAGAUCAGCAACGCUGCGGUGAAUACGUUCCCGGGGCU
rnacentral:rRNA from 1 species